UACGGGGGGGGCAAGCGUUGUUCGGAAUUACUGGGCGUAAAGGCUCGUAGGCGGCCAACUAAGUCGGAUGUGAAAUCCCCAGGCUUAACCUGGGAACUGCAUCCGAUACUGGAUGGCUUGAAUUCGGGAGAGGGAUGCAGAAUUCCUGGUGUAGCGGUGAAAUGCGCAGAUAUCAGGAGGAACACCGGUGGCGAAGGCGGAUCUCUGGGGCCUUACCUGACGCUGAGGCGCGAAAGCUAGGGGAGCAAACAGG
rnacentral:rRNA from 1 species